rnacentral:rRNA from 1 species
CCUACGGGGGGCAGCAGGGAGGAAGAGUGGGCAAGGGGCGCAAGCCGGACCCAGCAACGCCGCGGGAAGGAAGAAGGCUGUCGGGUGGGAAACUUCUUUUCUCAGGGACGAAGAAAGUGACGGUACCUGAGGAAUAAGCCACGGCUAACUACGUGCCAGCAGCCGCGGUAAUACGUAGGUGGCAAGCGUUAGCCGGAUUUACUGGGUGUAAAGGGCGUGUAGGCGGGACUGCAAGUCAGAUGUGAAAACCACGGGCUCAACCUGUGGCCUGCAUUUGAAACUGUCGUUCUUGAGUACUGGAGAGGCAGCCGGAAUUCCUAGUGUAGCGGUGAAAUGCGUAGAUAUUAGGAGGAACACCAGUGGCGAAGGCGGUCUGCUGGACAGCAACUGACGCUGAGGCGCGAAAGCGUGGGGAGCAAACAGGAUUAGAUACCCCAGUAGUC